CAGUAGCCGCGGGAAUACGAAGGGGGCUAGCGUUGUUCGGAAUCACUGGGCGUAAAGCGCACGUAGGCGGACUUUUAAGUCAGGGGUGAAAUCCCAAGGCUCAACCUUGGAACUGCCUUUGAUACUGGAAGUCUUGAGUUCGGGAGAGGUGGGUGGAACUGCGAGUGUAGAGGUGAAAUUCGUAGAUAUUCGCAAGAACACCAGUGGCGAAGGCGGCUCACUGGCCCGAUACUGACGCUGAGGUGCGAAAGCGCGGGGAGCAAACAGGAUUAGAUACCCCUGUAGUCCCUGUCUCUUAUAC
rnacentral:rRNA from 1 species